AUAGAUUAAUGAAAUUAGGAUUUUCAAUUAAAGAAUAUGAAAAUGAAGAAUUUAAAAAGAGGAAAAUAAUUUAAAAUAAAAGAAUAAUUUGAGUGUUAAUGUUUAAGGAAGAAUAAGAGAUUUUCAGUUUAGAGUUUUACUUUUAAACAUUUUUAAUGUCUUAACAGAGGUAAAAUUGAAUAUCGUACCAUAACAGUGAUGUAAUGGCUUGUAAUCUGCAGUUGCGUGCAGCUUUGACUUUUUUUGUUAUGGAGCUCCAAAAUCCCUUUAUGUAACAGCUAUUACAUAAUGUAGUGGCCGUUUUUUAAACUCAUGGUUGUCAGUCUUGAUUGCACAGAGCCAAAGCUUUCUGGUUAAUUCUGGUUGAUGGCUUCAAGUUUAAUAUAUAAUGUCAUGAGAACUAAUUUGUUUACAUUAGAAACACCUUGCAUUGUAUCCUCUUGUUUAGAGAUUGAAAAACUUGGGCAAGUGAUUGAAUGUUUCCUCUUGGUUAAGUCUAAGCUUUGUUAUAUGUCUUUUCUCUUUUGGUGGUAAUAAAAGCUUACUUACCAAAAAAACAAAAAAAGAAUGUUACAGAUUACUUGACAAAAGCUAUGAUAUGGAUAAAUUAAAACAUAGAAAAUGAUACAUUGUUUAUUUUUCAGAUUUAAAAAUUCAAGUAUUGUCAUGUUGACAAAAAUUCAAAACCUAUUGCAUAUUUUUGCGUGUCAUUUGUUAUUCUCCAAUCAUGAAACACUAAGUUCUCUGUUUUGUUUACACAUGCAUGUCUAUUACUUAUUAUUUUUUUAUACAUGAUUAGGUUCAUGUAUGCCUGUUAUAUCUUAUCUUUUAUGGAUUUGUUUUAUCUUAGCAUCUUUUGUUUUAGUAUGGCUGAAAAAAUAUGAUAUAUAUAUAUUGUACCUGUAUCUGCGCCUGCGUCUGCACCUGCACCUGCUGCUGCUCCUACCUCUACAGUUACUGCCAUACCAGAGUCUAAUGUCUAUGGUCAAGCGGCAUCGAAUUUGGUUGCUGGAAGUAACCUUGAUGGAGCGGUCCGGCAAAUUCUUGAUAUGGGUGGAGGGACUUGGGAUAGGGAUACUGUUGUUCGAGCUCUUCGUGCUGCUUACAACCCAGAGAGAGCUGUUGAAUAUUUAUAUUCUGUCAGCGUCUUUACUUGUAUUUGAUCUCUUUUGUGAAUUUAUUUUUCAAAUGGGAAGUGCAGAAGCAUGACGAAAAUUUUUGUUUUUGAUUUACGUUAUUUAGAUUUGUGAACAACAUUAUGUAUUGGAUAAUUUUGUUGAUGUAUUGUUAUGAAUGGAAGAAUAUUUUAAUUAUGGAUGAA